AUUAGCAUGUGAUGUGUUGACACAUUUCACACAAAACAGAUCGUAAAACUGGUGUGUGGGCUUUUGUAAGAUAAACUGCUUAUGGGCAAAUUGGGGAAUAAUGAGGAAGUCAGUGUUCAUGCAAAGGACUUUCUUUUGGCUAAUUAGUUAUAAAAUCCACAGCUUGUCUAUUUAAGUGGUUAUGUGAUUAUCUCUUCUCAGUAAUUUCUGAAAAUAUUUUGUUACUGGAAAUGCCAGGACUUGAUACUGAAUUUGGGUACAGGAAUACCUAGGAAGAACAGUGGGAAGAAUGAUAAGAACCUAUCAUGUUCUGUGUGGAAUGCCUGGAUUGUGGUCUCACGUUGCAAGAUCAGUAUCUUGAAGUGGGCUUUGCAAUGUUUUCUAUUUUUGUGGGGUUAUGGGUUUAUUUUUCUGGUGGGUGGCAGAAGAAGAAUCAAAUUGCUUCAGGUUACCUAUUUGUUGAGUGUAGAUGUAGUUGCCUACAUUUGCUGCAUAACUAGGACUAGAAAUAUGGAUCUAAACAGUCUAAGUUGCCGAGUUGUGUUAGCUUUUUUUUAAAUUAUUAUUAUUAUUUGAAGGCAGGCUUUGGAGAUCAAAGCCCUUUGGUGAUAAACCAUUAAAAUAAUCAUGUUGUCCCAGACAGAGAAUGUAGAGCAGGUGAUACUUCUGUUCCUUAACCCCCUUUUUACUGUGCACCACAUGUUUCUUCUGCAAUUAUAGAUUGAUCCUUCUUUUGAUUGAAGAUGAGGUUCAGUAGGCUGAUUAUAUGAACAAGACCAAAGAAA